rnacentral:rRNA from 1 species
GACAGAGGGUGCAAACGUUGUUCGGAAUUACUGGGCGUAAAGCGCGUGUAGGCGGCAGGGCAAGUCGGAUGUGAAACCCCGUGGCUCAACCACGGAAGUGCACCCGAAACUGCCCAGCUAGAGUCUCGGAGAGGAAGGUGGAAUGCUUGGUGUAGAGGUGAAAUUCGUAGAUAUCAAGCGGAACACCGGUGGCGAAGGCGGCCUUCUGGACGAUGACUGACGCUGAGACGCGAAAGCGUGGGGAGCAAACAGG